GCCGGGUGUGGCGGCCGCGGCUGGCCGCCGCGGCGUGGCGGGCGGCGCUGCUGGCCGGCGGCCGGCACGUACGCCGGCACAGCCUCGGCAUCCGGCU
rnacentral:tRNA from 1 species